rnacentral:rRNA from 1 species
UACGGAGGAUCCAAGCGUUAUCCGGAUUUAUUGGGUUUAAAGGGUGCGUAGGCGGUUCUUUAAGUUAGAGGUGAAAUCCCGUGGCUCAACCACGGAACUGCCUCUGAUACUGGAGAGCUAGCGAGUAGAUGCUGUAGGCGGAAUGUGUGGUGUAGCGGUGAAAUGCUUAGAGAUCACACAGAACACCGAUUGCGAAGGCAGCUUACAAAUCUACAUCGGACGCUGAGGCACGAAAGCGUGGGGAGCAAACAGG